UACGUAGGGCGCAAGCGUUGUCCGGAAUCAUUGGGCGUAAAGAGCUCGUAGGCGGCUUGUCGCGUCUGCUGUGAAAUCCCGGGGCUCAACCCCGGGCGUGCAGUGGAUACGGGCAGGCUAGAGGCAGGCAGGGGAGAACGGAAUUCCCGGUGUAGCGGUGAAAUGCGCAGAUAUCAGGAGGAACACCGGUGGCGAAGGCGGGUCUCUGGGCAGUAACUGACGCUGAGGAGCGAAAAGCGUGGGGGAGCGAACAGG
rnacentral:rRNA from 1 species